CUAAGUUGCCCAGGCUGUGCUCCAACUUGCGAUCCUCCUGCUUCAGCUUCCUGAGUAGCUGGGAUGACAGGUGUUUGCCACAACCUGCAACUCCCAAGCCAUUUUUAAUGGUCCCUUUUGCAUAGAAAAAUAUGAAAACAGGGUCCUUUACUGAUUGAUAUUUUUCCUACAUGAACUAUUCUGUUAUGGUUUUGUUACCAAAGCAUGUAUAUAAAGUACACAGAUAGGAAGAACAUGAAUAUAUAUCCUUUUAGUGGAUCAUAUGAAGAGGUGCACCGUGUGUUUCUGUGAUUACAUAGCACCGGUAGAUAAGUGACUAUAGUUCAGGGUGUGAUAAGUGUUUUUGUGUCCAUACAGAGUACAUAAAUGGAUAUAAAUGAAGUGAUUGAAUGAAUCUAUUUACAAGCCUGUGUAAAAGAAAUGUGUUGAUUUUGGAUCUGAGAAAAACUCCUAAAGAGAUUUUUUUCAAUGCUUCAUAAUCGGACUGUAUGGAAAGAUCAAGUGAUUUAGAUUUUCUCCUUAGCGUGGUUUGGAUACAGGUUGAGUAUGUCCUUAAGAGCUCCUGCGUCAAGAGCUUGGUUCUUUGUGGCCGUGUUGGAAGGUGGCAUAGAGUAUUUGGGGUGGAGCUGACUGGGAGGUAGUCAGAUCCCAGGGGACAGUGCUCACAGAAGGAAUUCAUGUGAUUGUGGGACCCUCUGUUAAUUCUUUUGUUGCUUUGGUUUUGUGCAGGGGUGUUGGGAGGUGAAGCCUAGUGGGCGGGGCCUGGUCACGGGGAGGAGCCCUUGUCAGUGGACCAAUGCUUUUCCCAAGAGACUGGCCACAACUACAUCGGGCACCUCAGAACAACUCCAGGAGAUACUUGUUUUCACUGCCCCAGGUGACUCUGAGCCCCUGCAGUCAUCCUCAACCAAAUCUGUAAGGAGUUGCUCCUCUAGAUAGAGGCUGACACCAUGCAUGUGCUGUCACCACGCAUUUUAUUCUGUAUAAACAACUUCCCCCAUGCUUUAAUGGGUCGAUCUGUGCACGCUUCUUAUUGUACUCCAUAAGACCUAAUAAAGCUUCUUUCAGAUAGCAA